ACUCCACCUGUACGAGGGAUAGGUGGGAGCCGAUGAAGCAUGGACGUUAGUCUAUGUGGAGGCAAUGGUGGGAUACCACCCUGGUGUGGUUGAGAUUCUAACCCGCAGCCGUGAUCCGGCUGGGAGACAGUGUCAGAUGGACAGUUUUGACUGGGGCGGUCGCCUCCUAAAAGAGGUAACGGAGGACGCUACGAACGGUACCCUCGAGUAAGUUAGGUUAGGAAACUACGACUUACGAACGAAGUAGUGUAAAACGGUACGGAACGUACGGACGGUCGGUCGGACGGCUUACGACGUUACGCGAACGGGAGUAGGUAGGACGCUGUAGUAGUUCGNGCUGUGGCAGAAGUGAGACGAACGGUGAGACUACCGAGUUACGCCGAAGGUCUAGAAUUCGUAACCCUACCGCACGUCCGGGAAGGAGACUAGUUCGAAGGGGGGUAUUCGGACGUCGGGGCGGUCGCCGUACGUAAAACGGUAACGGAGGCGACGGUACUAACGGUCCCUACGAGGCGUGGUAGAAAUCGUAGUCGAGUAGUAGUAGACGAAAGGCGAAGUAAGGUACGUAGGUACGGGACGACAAGGCACGAGAGGANAGGCAGCAGCANGAUA
rnacentral:rRNA from 1 species